GUUUGGUGCCCUGGUCGCGUGUCUUCCGAACUCUGCUGCUUCGCCCCGGCAAGAGCACUUCCUUCCGCGGCUGCUAAAACUGGUGCGCGGGUUCCCAACUUCGCAGAAGAGCUUCAUCGGCCCCCCGCUAGAGACCUCAGACCGCAGCCAUCGACGCCUCGCCUCGGGGAUCUGUCCCCACCCUCGGGGCCAGCUCACCAUGAGUCAGGCCCUGUGCUAGGUGCUGGGAUGAAGCAGUGACUGACACAGGCCUGGACCUGUCCUUGGGAAGAGUGCGUCUGUGACACAGAUACUGUGCCAUGUGGCAAAACUUGAAUGGAGACAUCAGCUCUUUGUGGGUCUCAAGUCUACUGGCUUUCAAUCAGCUCUUCUGCUUGACAGCUGCAGGUCUUGGGACUGCCCAGCCCCCAUAACCCUGUGAGUGCAUUCCUGAUAAUAACCCUCUUUCUCUUGUCCUCCCCCACCCCACAUCAUUGGUUCUGUUUCUCUGGAGAACCAUAAUACAUCAUUUACUAAUCAGGAAAUAGAUUCAGAGACAUUAAUAACUCAUCCAACCUCACAGUUAACUGUAGAGUUGGGCUUGAAAUUCCAAGGUCGAUUUUCUUAGCCAAUACACCAUGCUACAUAUAUGUAUGUAAAAAUAAAAACGCUUGUGAACUGAAAAGGGUCCAAACUUAAGCUCAUUUUGGUCCUUAAUUGCUAAUCCAUAGGCAUGUUUUGGUCCUUAAUUGCUAAUCCAUAAGCAUGUUUCGGUCCUUAUUUGCUAAUCCAUAGGCCUGCACACCUGCCCCCAAGGCCAUGGUUAGGUCAGCACUUGGCCCUCCCCUUGUCUGGGGCUGCCAGAAGCUGCCUCAGAAGACCUCUCCCUGCAGCUCCAGUGCUUUAGGGUUCAGCGCCCCUCCAGGGCCUUUAUUUCCUUCUGGGCUCAAAAGCAGAUACUGUGCCAGAUACAGAUGAUCACUUUCUGGGUUCCAGAACUCACAUGCACCCCUUUUCCUGGUCUCUCACAUUUGCUGUGACCAACCCAAGCCUCAGGUGGUCCUCUGCUGAGACUGUCCACUCACGCUGUUGACAGAGCCCUUCCAGGAGCUCUUUUUGUGGGGAUUUGCUAUGUACCUGGCACUGUGCAAAGAACCCCACCCAUGCCGUCCUUGCAGCCGCCAUGUGCG
rnacentral:lncRNA from 10 species